AUUGAACGCUGGCGGCAUGCUUUACACAUGCAAGUCGAACGGCAGCGCGGGCUUCGGCCUGGCGGCGAGUGGCGAACGGGUGAGUAAUACAUCGGAACGUGCCCAGUAGUUGGGGAUAGCUCGGCGAAAGCCGGAUUAAUACCGCAUACGACCUGAGGGUGAAAGCGGGGGAUCUUCGGACCUCGCGCUAUUGGAGCGGCCGAUGGCAGAUUAGCUAGUUGGUGGGGUAAAGGCCUACCAAGGCGACGAUCUGUAGCUGGUCUGAGAGGACGACCAGACAAACGGGGACUGAGACAAGGCCCAGACUCCUACGGGAGGCAGCAGUGGGGAAUUUUGGACAAUGGGCGAAAGCCUGAUCCAGCAAUGCCGCGUGUGUGAUGAAGGACUUCGGGUUGUAAAGCACUUUUGGCGGGAACGAAAAGGACUGUGCCAAUACCACGGUUCGAUGACGGUACCCGCAGAAUAAGCACCGGCUAACUACGUG
rnacentral:rRNA from 1 species